rnacentral:rRNA from 1 species
AUUGAACGCUGGCGGCAUGCCUUACACAUGCAAGUCGAACGGCAGCACGGGUGCUUGCACCUGGUGGCGAGUGGCGAACGGGUGAGUAAUACAUCGGAACAUGUCCUGUAGUGGGGGAUAGCCCGGCGAAAGCCGGAUUAAUACCGCAUACGAUCUACGGAUGAAAGCGGGGGACCUUCGGGCCUCGCGCUAUAGGGUUGGCCGAUGGCUGAUUAGCUAGUUGGUGGGGUAAAGGCCUACCAAGGCGACGAUCAGUAGCUGGUCUGAGAGGACGACCAGCCACACUGGGACUGAGACCCGGCCCAGACUCCUACGGGAGGCAGCAGUGGGGAAUUUUGGACAAUGGGCGAAAGCCUGAUCCAGCAAUGCCGCGUGUGUGAAGAAGGCCUUCGGGUUGUAAAGCACUUUUGUCCGGAAAGAAAUCCUUGGCCCUAAUACGGUCGGGGGAUGACGGUACCGGAAGAAUAAGCACCGGCUAACUACGUG